rnacentral:snRNA from 1 species
CACCCCAUUGAUCGCCAGGGUUGACUCGGCUGAUCUGGCUGGCUAG